rnacentral:rRNA from 1 species
UACGAAGGAUCCAAGCGUUGUCCGGAUUUACUGGGUUUAAAGGGUGCGUAGGUGGGUUGGUAAGUCAGUGGUGAAAUCUCCAGGCUUAACUUGGAAACUGCCAUUGAUACUAUCAAUCUUGAAUACCGUGGAGGUCAGCGGAAUAUGUCAUGUAGCGGUGAAAUGCUUAGAUAUGACAUAGAACACCAAUUGCGAAGGCAGCUGGCUACACGAAUAUUGACACUGAUGCACGAAAUCGUGGGGAUCAAA